UUUUCGGAGAGUUUGAUCCUGGCUCAGGACGAACGCUGGCGGCGUGCCUAAUACAUGCAAGUCGAGCGGACAGAAGGGAGCUUGCUCCCGGAUGUUAGCGGCGGACGGGUGAGUAACACGUGGGUAACCUGCCUGUAAGACUGGGAUAACUCCGGGAAACCGGAGCUAAUACCGG
rnacentral:rRNA from 1 species